rnacentral:rRNA from 1 species
UACGAAGGGGGCUAGCGUUGUUCGGAAUUACUGGGCGUAAAGCGCGCGCAGGCGGCUAUCCAAGUCAGUGGUGAAAGCCCGGAGCUCAACUCCGGAACUGCCAUUGAAACUGUUUAGCUUGAGGAUGAGAGAGGUGAGUGGAAUUCCCAGUGUAGAGGUAGAAAUUCGUAGAUAGUUGGGAAGAACACCGGUGGCGAAGGCGGCUCACUGGCUCAUUACUGACGCUCGAGGCGCGAUAGCGUGGGGAUCAAACAGG